AGGGAGAGAGCUGCAUGUAGCCACAUGUUGUUCAUUUCCUUUGCCAGUUAGUGAGUUAUUAGCCCAGUUGUAGAUCGUUUGUAGUCAGCAAUAGUGGAGUGAUUGCUUCUUACAAGAGCACACAACGUGUACAUUUCUAGACAUAUUUGAAAAGCGAGGUAUCCUUUUUUUUUUAUCUUAAAGGGGAAGUGUUGUAUUUUGAGACAGGCUUUUAUUUUAUUUUUUUAAUUUAAUCUUUAUUUAACUAGGCAAGUCAGUUAAGAACAAAUUCUUAUUUACAAUGACGGCCUACCCCGGCCAAACUCGGAUGACGCCGGGCCAAUUGUGCGCCGCCCUAUUGGACUCCCAAUCACGGCUGGAUGUGAUGCAGCCUGGAAUCAAACCAGGGACUGCAGUGACGCCUCUAUCACUGAGAUGCAGUGGCUUAGACCUUGAAUAAGCUAAGUAGCCAAUAGGCAGAGUAGCAUCAUUUGUCUGUAAUAAUUGUAUUGGAAUAAUAAUACAUUUUAUUUUGUAACAUGGUUUCUUACAAACACAACAUUUUCAGUCACCUGCUUGUCUGAAGGACAAGUGGAUAAAUGGGUUAAUGUCAAGCACUGCAUGUUUUUUUCCCAAAAGUCUCAUGGAAUGUAGGCCUACAUUGAACACCACACAUUGGCUGCUACUGUAGGCUGAAUGAUAGAACAGCUAUUUCCAUGUUAAAAUGUUAUGGGAUGCAUUUUCUCCAUUGUUUUUGAUGGUAGACCACUCUGGUAGGCCUACAUUAUGAACAAAUAUCCACAGUAACCUACUUGGCCACUGUUUAAAACUGUAACUUAAAGCAGGUACAGCCUCAGUGUUGACAGUAAAACUGUAACUUAAAGCAGGUACAGCCUCAGUGUUCACAGUAAAACUAUCUUAAAGCGGCUACAGCCUCAGUGUUGAUAGUAAAACUAACUUAAAGCGGGAACAGCCUCAGUGUUCACAGUAAACGGACGCUGGAUGUUGCACAGAAUUUUCACAAUGUUUAAAUUUGUGCUCAGCAGACCUGAAAUGGCAGAUUUUUUUUUAGGUAACAUUGAUUACAGUUCAUAUGAGGAAAUCAGUCAAUUGAAAUAAACUGAUUAGGUCCUAAUCUAUGUUUGUCACAUGACUGGGAAUACAGAUACCUCACAAUGGGCCUCAGGAUUUCGUCAUGGUAUUUUUGUGGAUUGAUAAAAUGCAAUUGUGUUCGUUGUCGGUAGCUUAUGCCUGUCCGUACCAUAACCCCACCGCCACCAUGGGGCACUCUGUUCACAACGUUGACAUCAGCAAACCGCACACCCACACGAUGCCAUACACGCUGUCUGCGGUUGUGAGGCAGGUUGGACGUACUGCCAAAUUCUCUAUAAUGACAUUGGAGGCGGCUUACGGUAGAGAAAUUAACAUUACAUUCUCUGGCACAGCUCUGGUGGAGAUUCCUGCAGUCAUCAUGACAAUUGCACGCUCCCUCAAAACUUGAGACCUCUGACAUUGUUGUGUGGCAAAACUACACAUUUUAGAGUGGCCUUAUUGUCCCCAGCAAAAGGUGCACCUGUGUAAUAAUCAUGUUUAAUCAGCUUCUUGAAAUGCCACACCUGUCAGGUGGAUGGAUUAUUUUAGCAAAGGCGAAACGGUCACUAACAGGGAUGUAAACAAAUUUGUGCACCAAAUUUGAGAGAAAUAAACUUUUAGUGCAUAUGAAACAUUUCUGGGAUCAUUUUUAUUUCAGCUCAUGAAAAACAUAGGACCAACACUUUUACAUGUUGUUUAUAUUUUCGCUCAGUAUAGUUUAUCCCCUUUUGGACCCUGAUGAGAUCAUUGAGAGUGAGAAGACACCAGACAAUCUGUAACCUUUGUACACCAUUCAUUCACCAUAUGAGACACUUGACGCCACGAGUAAAAGGCUUGGAGACCGAAA
rnacentral:lncRNA from 1 species